UACGUAGGGUGCGAGCGUUGUCCGGAAUUAUUGGGCGUAAAGGGCUCGUAGGCGGUUUGUCGCGUCGGGAGUGAAAACUCAGGGCUUAACCCUGAGCCUGCUUCCGAUACGGGCAGACUAGAGGUAUGCAGGGGAGAACGGAAUUCCUGGUGUAGCGGUGAAAUGCGCAGAUAUCAGGAGGAACACCAAUAGCGAAGGCAGCUCGCUGGGACGUUACUGACACUGAGGCGCGAAAGCGUGGGGAGCGAACAGG
rnacentral:rRNA from 1 species